rnacentral:rRNA from 1 species
AGAAUCAUUCACAAUGGGGGAAACCCUGAUGCAGCGACGCCGCGUGAGUGAGGAAGUAUUUCGGUAUGUAAAGCUCUAUCAGCAGGGAAGAAAAUGACGGUACCUGACUAAGAAGCCCCGGCUAACUACGUGCCAGCAGCCGCGGUAAUACGUAGGGGGCAAGCGUUAUCCGGAUUUACUGGGUGUAAAGGGAGCGUAGACGGAAUUGCAAGUCCGAUGUGAAAAUCCGGGGCCCCACCCCGGAACUGCAUUGGAAACUGUAUUUCUAGAGUGUCGGAGAGGCAAGUGGAAUUCCUGGUGUAGCGGUGAAAUGCGUAGAUAUCAGGAGGAACACCAGUGGCGAAGGCGGCUUGCUGGACGAUGACUGACGUUGAGGCUCGAAAGCGUGGGGAGCAAACA